GACGAACGCUGGCGGCGUGCUUAACACAUGCAAGUCGAACGGAAAGGCCCUGCUUUUGUGGGGUGCUCGAGUGGCGAACGGGUGAGUAACACGUGAGUAACCUGCCCUUGACUUUGGGAUAACUUCAGGAAACUGGGGCUAAUACCGGAUAGGAGCUCCUGCUGCAUGGUGGGGGUUGGAAAGUUUCGGCGGUUGGGGAUGGACUCGCGGCUUAUCAGCUUGUUGGUGGGGUAGUGGCUUACCAAGGCUUUGACGGGUAGCCGGCCUGCGGGGGUGACCGGCCAAAUUGGGACUGGAGUACCGCCCAGAACCCUACGGGGAGGAGCAGGGGGGAAUAUUGCACCAAGGGCGGAAGGCUUGUGCAGCAACGGCGGGGGGGGGAAGACGGCCUUUGGGUUUGAAACCGGCUUUGCCUGGUACCGAAGGGUAGGUGCGGUAAAGGGGAAAAGAAGACCCGCUAACUUCCUU
rnacentral:rRNA from 1 species